rnacentral:misc_RNA from 1 species
GUGAAAUUUCUAUCUUAAUUACGUCAAAAAAAUAAAACAAACUCGAAGCAUGAUCCUUUUCCCUUGUUAGACGACCUUAAAGCACUUAACUAACCGAAGGCCUCGACAAAAUUUGGAGCCGGGUACUAUACUAUACUACCAAACUACUAAGGAUUUACAGCAUAUGCAUUUAAAAGCUUUACAAUUUUCAACAGAAAAACAUUGAGUCGCUGACAUUCUUGUGCAGCCUGGGCAGUUGGGUUACCGGGGUAGUCCCAAUUGAUUUGACACUUCCCUGUUCUGACAAAGUUUCGGAGUGGUCCUCGUACUUAUCAAACUGCCCGAAUUGUUGUGCUGC